AGGUCACAUCUCCCAAGAAGCAGUAAUGUUCCAGCAAUAAGAAAAGGACAGUUUUUUGUCUUUUGUAUGGUGAGCCUUAUAUGAAUUACAUCAAUUUUGUCACCAAUAUCCAUCAUCAGAUCAUUCUGAUUCUACAUAACACAUUGCAAAUGGUCACAACAAUCAAGACGACACCCAUAGAUGUCCCAGAAAUAAUAUCCGACUAUACAGAGCAGCAUUACCGAGCCACCAAGACGUCUGCCUAGUAGUAACAGUGAUAACAACAGCUAAAACUCAGUAAGUGCUUGUGAUGCACCUGGCAUUCUUCCAGUCAACAGAGCAGAGGAACAGAGCCACAGAUAACUGACAACCACUUUGGCACUGAGGAGGUCUGCAGACAAGAUCUGGAAGGGAAUCUAGAAAAAUGACAACUUUGGUAUAAUGGAUACCUUUUGUUUUCUUAUUGCUUUUAUUUUUGUCAUGAUAAAUGUUAAGGGUAAAAAGAAAAUUCACAUUGUUUGUGCCUAUGUGAACAGUGGUACUCAGUCAACGUAGGUUUUACUCAAUAGCAUGUUGUUAAUUAAUCUUCCAAAUUGUUGGGGUAUUUUAUAUGAAGUAGCCCCUACCCCUACCUUGUCCUUUUCCCAGACUCGAUUCCUAGAUAAUCACUUCCAUCAAUUAUGAGAUAAUCACUUGCCUUACUGACAGACUCAGAGGAAGCGAUCAGUUUUUUGGGCAGAAUGAAGGGACAAGUAGCGAACUGGCAUCCGGGAUGCUGCCUAGAACCCUGUCCAUUUUAGAAGACACCCAGGUGAUACGCAAUGCACAAAAAGCACUGGAACUCCCAGCAGGCAAGCACUGCAGUCUCUAAACCCUCUAUUGAGAAAGGCCAUGGCAUGUCUACCAGGGACACAGAUUUGGGAGGCAGAACACAGACAGGGUGAGGGUGAAAGGCAAUGGCUACCUGGCCACGUCAGCCAAACCAACUCUAAAAAUCAAUGCGAUGACAGUGGCCACGGGCAGCUCACUCUCACCUUAUAACCUGGGAUGGCAUAGGCCAGACAGAUUAUUUCAUUUUGUUUCGUUUUUCAUUAUUUUUAUUUACUUUUUUGGAGAGAGGGUCUAUCUCCAUUGCCUAGGCUGGAGUCCAGUGGUGUGAUCAUAGCUCACUGUAACCUUGAACUCCUGGACUCAAGUGAUAAACCUGCAUCAGUCUUCCCUGAGUAGCUGGGACUACAGGGACACACCACUAUGCCUGGCCUCUCAUUUUGCUUAAUUUAUUUAUUUAGUCACCUAAUUUUGAGGGAGGGCAGAUUUUGGAAGUAAAGGGCACAGAUGGUUCUGUAGUAUGCAGAGAUCUCAAGCUUUGCUAAGAUGGGAUCAACAUGAAGCAUCUGUACAUGUACAAAUUAGCAAAUGUUACCAUGACUAACAGUGAAAUGAAGAAUUAAGAAAAUUAUGAGGUUAAUUUCCUUGAAGUCUCUCAGUAGUCAUUUGUGUCUAUAGGUAUUUUACAACAUUGUAUUUUCUAAUUUAACGAAAGGAAAGCUAACCAAAUUCGUGGAUUUUAUUUUUUGACUCAGCCUCAAAAAGCCUUAGGGCUGAUUCAGGCCUGGUUGUAGCAAUCGGCUGUCUCAAAGGCCUCCUGAAUGUUUAAAUAGCUUCUCUCCUGUUUAUUUUGCACUGUUUUAUCCUGUAAGCUGUCUCAAGGCCCUUCCAAUAUAAGCAUGAGGAUUUAAAUCUUAAUAAAUUGAGAUUUGAAUAAUAGAGGUAAUCUGGGCUUGGGGGGUCUUGAAUUAUUGGGAUAAACAUCUCUAUUUCCCAUUUGCACAUUAUGCCUGUGCUGUACACACUGCCCCAUGAUCAAGGUCAGAAAUAGUAAAAAUAGUCAUAGCAGAAAUAAUACUGAUAAUAUUUGGAGUUAAAUAGCACUUUACCAUUUGUAAGGACUUUUUUUAUGUACAGAUUCUUCUUCUAUUCUUGGAAUAGUCCUAAACAGUAGGAAGAUCAGGUGUUAUACCCACUUUAAAAAUGAAGCAAGUGAGUCACAAAGAGAUUAAGACACACUUAAAACAAUAUGGACGAGUGGAGGCAGUAGGACUGGAACUCAGGUCUUCCUGAUAGCUUUCUCACAAUUUUACCAGAUGUGUUAACAUAUGUGUGCUAACAAUAAGACUCAAUGACAUUCCAAUUAAACUUACUGGAGAUAUCUUUUUAUAAGCUUAUGACAGGGACAUUGUAGAAGUCUGGAGUUAGCUCUUUUUAAAAAAAGGUUACCACAGAGAUUGCUCAUCAGUUCAACUCUAGGGUUGAAAGUGACAAGCAAUGCUCAAAUACCUUUUUGUAGUCUAUUAUUUUGAAGGAAGGAGUAAAAAUAUAUAUAACUUCCUUAAUUGUAAUUUAACACCAAAAUAUUUCUUCUGUCCUGUCAUUUCUUAUCACUCAAAAUUCUAAGGAGUUGAAUUUUAAGACAUAAGUGGAGGCAUAAAAAUCACGAAGAUACAUUUUAACAUUAAUAGAAACAACAACAAUUAAAAAGGCUUACCUUGCAGCCUUCACAUGUAAUGACACCAUAAUGGAUUCCUGAUGAUUUGUCUCCACAGAUCUUGCAUGGAAUAAUUUCAAUUUGAGCUGCAACAGAAGCACGCAACCAGUUAAUUACAUUUUCUUUUAAACACCUUAUAAAAGCGUUCCCUGAUCAGCAUUUGUAUAGUGAAAACUAAUAACCUGCUAAACAUUAUACUACAUUAACUAUUCAUUGCUGAACUGUGAGGGUCCCCCUAGAGCCCUGGACUAAAUUAUGGCUGCUCGUUAUAUAAUAGCUUUCGGGUUAUUAAAAUGGGUCAUUUGAGAAGGUGUUUAAGAACCCACAAGAAGACUGGAAUCAGCAUUUCAAAGCCUUCAAGAACUGGAGAGUUCGCAGUUUAGGCCUCAGAGCAAAGCAGAUACUGAAAUGUUUCCUCCAAUCUCAUUUUCUAUCAUUAUUUUUAAAAGGUCAUAAAUCUGUCUUGGCUGAGCAUUAUAGCUUGACUGCUAGAGAAAAAUACACUCCAAAAAGUCAGGUCUAGUUAGGAAAAUGAUUCAAUUCAAAAUAUUAAUAAGUUAUAUAUGAUGGUAAGAAUUCCUUACUUAUCUUUUAAAAAAUUAACGCAGUUGCCAUGUGUUAAAUAUUAGUCCAUUUGUGUACAAUCAGAACCUUUCAACCACAGAGUUAAUAUCCUGUUUGAAUUUAAUAAUGAUGAAUCCUGACAAAUAGGAUGUAUUGCUUCUGAGUUCUUUACAUUGGAAAUUUAGUUCCUGGUACAGAGGGCACGUGUUUCUACCCAACUGAUUAUUUAAAGAUGCCUCAUGCUAGAAGACUAGCAAAUAAAAUGUAUCACACCAAAGUUCUCAAAUAAGGCAAAGCGCAUUUCUGAGCACACACAUUAUAUCUCAAAGUUAAAAAGAGCAUAAAUUAAGGAUAAAAAAAAUAAGGAAUAAUUAGGCAAAAGAAAAUCCUUAGAUCAACUAUUGAAUAGAAUUUAGAUGUGAAGUAAAGACCAAUGCUGAGCUUCUAUAGACAGGAUGGGAACAGUCACCAGUUUACCUGGAAUGUGUCAUGACGCUAAAUUCAUUUUCCAUGGUUUUCACUACUGGGUAUCAUGUUAGAUUAUCUACUGAGUUACACACAGAAACACAGUUGCAAGUGCCCAAGUCUAUUUCAUUUUUAUACAGCCCUUACCUAGCCCCAGACCUUAUACACAGUAAUUUCUUUGUCCAAAGAAUAUGUCACACAGUGUAAGUACCACACACAGACACACAGCCCACGCUUUCUUCUAAUGUAAUCCCAUAUCCUGGGAUAAUUCCACAACCACUUACUUUGGAUUUGAGGUGAUGUUGUGUUCAGUACUUACAGCACACAUGAAACUACUGGAUUUAACCUCAUUAUAAACCAUGUGUACUGCUAACUCCCUUUCUCAGGGCCUAAUACAAGUACUGUGAUGACUUAUCCAUCAUGUUUUUAGUGCUUGCAUACUGAGUUUCUUUCCUGUCCAAAUUUAAAGAUGGUUCCAAAUCUCACAUCCAGUGUAUUUUCUAUACUCUGGAGGCUUUCUAGUACCCCAAUAAUGGUGACUGUGGACACUAAUAGGUAUAGUUUGAGUUAAGCAACUUAAUAUGCUUAAGGUUGCAUUCAACAAAAAUUGUCAUUUGCAAGUGUGCCUCAUGUUAACACUUGGCUUGAUUUCUUCAAGAAAAAUUCUUUAUGAAAUAUGAAAUCUAAUAAUGUCUCAUACUUCACAGUCCUUCCGAUAUGUUUAAUAUAGUCAAGGCAAAGGUUUGUGCCACAGAUCCGCAACUCUAGAGAAAGCGACUUAUGCCUAACAUUUUCCAGAGAUGCACAAAAGGCAAGUGAAAGUAGAGAAAUCGUGAAAGGUGUUAAUCAGCUGAGUUAUUGCCUACUUUUCCCUACAUGAAUUGAGUAGGCUAGAAUAAGAACUAGCCUCACUACCUUGAUUCUUAGGAAUAUGCCUAAUUAUUAAAUUAGGCAACAUAAAGUCCUUGAACCACCCAUUAAACAGAAUAUACAUGAAAUGAAGACCUACUUGGAGCUGCUUCUCCCCAUGUCUCACCUCAAGGUGUAAUGACAGAAAUUAGGGAUGAACAAACCUCUUUAGGUCCUAGCAUUUAAGUCGGCAUCAAAACUACCUGAUGCUAAACUUGGGCCUUUUAAGAGUUACCUUUAUUCCAUCUUAACAAUGGGGGAGAUCAAGCAUGUCUACUUAGUCCUCUAUGAGAAUAUGAAGGCCCUGGGCAGGGCAUAUUGAGAACACUGAGUAGAACUGCAUCUGGACAAACUGAAAAUGAUAUGCAGUAUUCCUGUCCAGUUGGCCUGGACUCACGGUGGAUUACUAAUGAGACGUGAAGUAACGAUGUUUAAGGCUGUGACCAAGAUGCCUGUCUGUCGUGGAGGACUGCUCAUGAUAGGAGUGGCCUUGGGAGUACCGUGCUGGCCCCAGCACUUCCAUCUUUGGAAUGGCUCAUGGCCCUGGGGGUGUGACGGUAGGUGCGGGUGGGGAGCGGUUGUAGUACAGACCCCAGAGUUUGGUGCCACUGUGACACAGGACUGAUGGCCUGAGUCAGGCUUCAGCUCACAGGGGUUUUCAGAUCUGGAGGAUAUUUGAGCGGAGACAGUCAUGAGAUCUGUGGAGGCCGAGAAGCUUAAGAUAAAUGGACUCACUGUAGAUUGGUAUUUCCAAACUGGGGGAGAGGGCUGCGGGGGGGGGGGGGGCAUUCACUUAGAUCUUUGUCCCCAUGGUGUCUGUGCUUAGUUCCAGUGGGCUAAAGAAUCAGAAUUUACUGAAACAAGCUUCACUGGGAAUCUCACGGUAAGGUGGUAGAAGGGUUUCUGGAUAGCAAGUUGAGGUAUUCUGAUUGGUUAAACUAGUCUCCUAGGCUCCCUCCUGCAUGGCUCUCUUAUCUCAGAUGACAAUUUCAGUUGCAAAUGCUCUUUAGGAAAUGACUAAAAUCCCCCUACUCCAGAAGCAAACCCUCUGAAUGUGAUCUGAUCACACGUGUUGAAAUUCCCAAAAAGCGAGCAUUUGCAGAUGGGAGCAGGGUACUUGCUCAGCCCUUCAUUUAAUCCAACAAUGCACAAAAGCCCUCCCCAUCCCCCAUUUUAGUCAGUUUCCAGAAUUCAAAUUAAUCCAUGAGAAAAAAAUGCAGUCAGUGCCUUGCAAAUUUUUCAAAAGGAGGCAGUUUAGUUUUGUGAAUUUGAGUUUUCAGUCCAACAAGAAGGAGAAGGACAAAAAUCCCUCUGCCCUUUGCCUUUCAUCAUAUAGGCUUUUUGGUUUCCCACCAGGUAGUGCGGUGUCUCCUGAAAACCUUCUUUUAACACAAAUUAUGAAUCUUGGCCCAUACAUAUACUGCACACAUUAACUCAGCCAGCAUUUCAAAGGAUGAGUUCUGUCAGACAGCACUACUGUCAACGUUCACAAGUAUAUUGAUUAAAUUAGCCCACAUACAUAUUCAUCCCAGCAAAGACAUUUAUUGUGUGGUGGAAUAUCUGGAGCAAGAUGCGCACAUAUAAUCAUGAAUUGGCUUCACAAUGAACAAUCUUGCUAUGAAAAAUUCUAAUUUGCCCACAUUUUCAGCUCUAUUGCCUAAAUAAUUUGCUCUCUGAUGCACCCUAUGUAAUUCAAGCAGGCUCUCCACACCUGCAGAGGCAAAUUUCUGCAGUUUCAAGGAGCUGACAACAAGUGGCAGCCGGCGUCAGGAAAUCCUGGAAUGCAAGGGUGCUAAUUAACCAAGUGGUCCUUGGGGCUAGGCUGUCAUUUAGCACUGCACGUCUAUAAAAAGUUUGCUUUGAAUUUUUAAUUAUCAAAGGAACAAGAACUUGGGCACUAGCAUUCUUAAGAUGACAUUUAUUCCUCAGGACCUAUCUUAGGAGAUGUCAUGGUCCAGAGGACAAUGCCCAUUCUCCCAAACAAUUAAAAAAUAAAAAUUGUAUGAGAGGCACGCAGUACUUCAUUCUGUGAGUAGUGAUCUCUCAAUAAUAAUCUAAUUUAUAAUAACAUCUACAUGUAUUUGUGCUAAUAAUGUGUUAUGCAGUAUAUCUCACUCCUCCAACACCCUAUGCGGUAGGCAUCACUAUUUAUUGUUACUGUCAUCAUUGUCAUCAUCGUCAUUGCAUUCGUUAAGCAAUCACUAACCGGGGCUCAAAAGACAUCCCUUAAGUAGUUUGUUGAAACUUAACACACUACUCAGGAAUUGAUGUCACGAUCUCUUUCUGGGAGUUAUCCGCUUAGUUUAUAACUAAAAAUAACCACCAACCUUCUAGGCCACUGAUCUCAGUUUCACAAAAUUCUGGUUAGAAUUUUAACCCUAAAAUGACCAGUGCCAACGUUUGACAGUUCUUAAGGCCGGGCAAAUUACUUAACCUCUCUAAGCCUCAGUUUCAUACUUGAAGAUUCAAGGAUGUGAUACAUAAAUGCAUACCAUAUAUGUGAUAUCUGUAUGAGCAUUUUCUAUAUGUAUUCUCUCUAUAUGCCCAUCACAUAGUUCUUAGAAAUAACUGGCAGUCAAUAAAUAGUAGUUAUUAUUAUUGUUGUUGUUGAUAAGAAAUCCUGCCUUAUAGUGAAAUGAAAUUCUUUCCUCCAGACUUUAAGCUCUUUCUGAGGUGGGGAUAGAGAAAAGCUGCUUAUCCUCCAAAUAAUAUGACAGUCAGUUCCUACCAGCUACCACAGCAAUCCUUCACAACACUGCUGCUUAACUGUUUGCUACAACACAGUGGUAUGUUGCAAUAAGUUGCAGGAGUGUCACGGGGAAUUGGUUACUAAUAAAAGUUUUACAAAAUUAAAGUUUUUUAUUUGUUCACAUAAAAACUAAACUAAUAUGGACCCAAGGUUAACCCAAUAAUAUCGUUCACUCUAGCUCACUUGCACAAUCACGUAUUUUCUUGAAUUGGACUGAAUGGGGUGGGGUUACUGCUGGCUUGCCAGGAAACGGCCGAUGGGCGAACCUUGAGUACACCUAUGGGAACAUGUCUGUCAUGCUUAUGAAUGUCAGCCAAUUUUGUGUGUCUUGCAAAAACGGUCAAAAACUAGUGCUUUAAAAAGCCUAUCUUUUACACAAAUCUGUUGAUGAUUUUUUUUUCUGGAAUGCAGAGAAUAUGGAGGACUUUUCACUUGCUAUGUUACAUAUUUCUCUAAUGUUUGAAUUUUUUACAACCAGCAUGUAUUACUUUUGUAAGCAGAAAAAUCAAUAAAGAU